UUGGAGGGCAAGUCUGGUGCCAGCAGCCGCGGUAAUUCCAGCUCCAAUAGCGUAUAUUAAAGUUGUUGCAGUUAAAAAGCUCGUAGUUGAAUUUCGGAAUUUUUUUAUCGGUUGAAUCAACAGGUUCGUACUGAUUUUAAGAAUUUCUACCUUCUGGAGAACCUUAAUGUCAUUUAUUUGGUGUUUUGGGAAACCAGGACUGUUACCUUGAAAAAAUUAGAGUGUUUAAAGCAGGCUUAUGUCUGAAUAUAUUAGCAUGGAAUAAUGAAAUAGGACGGCAUGGUUCUAUUUUGUUGGUUUCUAGGAUCACCGUAAUGAUUAAUAGGGACAGUUGGGGGCAUUAGUAUUCAAUUGUCAGAGGUGAAAUUCUUGGAUUUAUUGAAGACUAACUACUGCGAAAGCAUUUGCCAAGGAUGUUUUCAUUAAUCAAGAACGAAAGUUAGGGGAUCGAAGACGAUCAGAUACCGUCGUAGUCUUAACCAUAAACUAUGCCGACUAGGGAUCGGAUGAUGUUAAUUUUUUAAUGACUCAUUCGGCGCCUUACGGGAAAC
rnacentral:rRNA from 1 species